GGCAGUGUAGCCUAGUGGUUAAGGCGCACAGCUUGUAACCGAGAGGUUUCCGGUUCAGUUCCCCGCUGGGGCGCUGCUG